AGCAGCCGCGGUAAUUCCAGCUCCAAUAGCGUAUAUUAAAGUUGUUGCAGUUAAAAAGCUCGUAGUUGAAUUUCGGGAUCAAUAUGUUGGUCGUGCCUUGGUACGUACUAAUUUAUUGGUUUCUUCCUUCUGACGAACCAUGAUGUCAUUAAUUUGGUGUCUUGAGGAAUCAGGACUGUUACUUUGAAAAAAUUAGAGUGUUUAAAGCAGGCUCACGCUUGAAUACAUUAGCAUGGAAUAAUGAAAUAGGACGUUUGAUUCUAUUUUGUUGGUUUCUAGGAUCGACGUAAUGAUUAAUAGGGAUAGUUGGGGGCAUUAGUAUUCAAUUGUCAGAGGUGAAAUUCUUGGAUUUAUUGAAGACUAACUACUGCGAAAGCAUUUGCCAAGGAUGUUUUCAUUAAUCAAAGAACGAAAGUUAGGGGAUCGAAGACGAUCAGAUACCGUCGUAGUCUUAACCAUAAACUAUGCCGACUAGGGAUCGGAUGAUGUUAAUUUUUAAUGACUCAUUCGGCGCCUUACG
rnacentral:rRNA from 1 species